rnacentral:rRNA from 1 species
ACUUGAACCUGGGGAUGCUUGUCUACUCGAAGUCCAACUCCGAAUAUGGCUUGGAUAUGUUCUAGAGAGGGUGAAAGCCCCGUACGGGUAGACUUAUAUGUCUUUAAAGCGUUCCUUAGAUGUUCAUGUUCUAGAGUCGGAUUGCUUGAGAAUGCAGUCCAAAGUGGGUGGUAAACUCCAUCCAAGGCUAAAUACCUGCACGAAUCCGAUAGUAGACAAGUACCGCGAGGGAAAGUUGAAAAGUACUCUGAAGAGAGAGUAAAUAGUACGUGAAGCCGUUUGCAUGGAAGCUGGUGGAGUCAAGCUUCUCGUUUUAAGAAUUGACAUGGAGAAUAUGGUUCGGGGACAGACUUUUCAUUGGCUUGAAAAGAACCAGGCGGUUCGCCGUCUCAUCUAUUCUUGGCAGUGUAUAUGUUGUGAUUUUGUCUAGUCCAUUCUCUUGUGUUAUUUCUUUUUACGAGUAUCACUGUGAAUGUGCAUUAUUAUGCGGUGCAAUUAAACUAUGUUUUAGCGGGCCUCCGGGUUCACUAGGCAUGGGAUGGCAGGUGGAUGUAGGCUGGAUUUAUCUGGUCUGCUUCGUAUGAUAGCUUUGCUUGCUGAUUGUGUCGCUUCUUAAUAAUUAUGCAUAUUUUUCCUAUUGUGGCGGUGUCCGAAAUGGUAGCCGUUAUUUAGAGCAGUGGUAUUGAAGUAGACGUUCCAUCCGACCCG